UACGAAGGGGGCUAGCGUUGCUCGGAAUCACUGGGCGUAAAGCUCACGUAGGCGGCUUUUUAAGUCAGGGGUGAAAUCCUGGAGCUCAACUCCAGAACUGCCUUUGAUACUGAGAAGCUUGAGUCCGGGAGAGGUGAGUGGAACUGCGAGUGUAGAGGUGAAAUUCGUAGAUAUUCGCAAGAACACCAGUGGCGAAGGCGGCUCACUGGCCCGGUACUGACGCUGAGGUGCGAAAGCGUGGGGAGCAAACAGG
rnacentral:rRNA from 1 species